rnacentral:rRNA from 1 species
CGACCGGCGCACGGGUGAGUAACACGUAUCCAACCUGCCGUCUACUCUUGGACAGCCUUCUGAAAGGAAGAUUAAUACAAGAUGGCAUCAUGAGUCCGCAUGUUCACAUGAUUAAAGGUAUUCCGGUAGACGAUGGGGAUGCGUUCCAUUAGAUAGUAGGCGGGGUAACGGCCCACCUAGUCUUCGAUGGGUAGGGGUUCUGAGAGGAAGGUCCCCCACAUUGGAACUGAGACACGGUCCAAACUCCUACGGGAGGCAGCAU